UAGCUGCAGAUCAUUUCACUUUUAGCGCUUACGUUGUUCACAGAUCAACUGUUCGGUAUUGCGUUAGACAAAAAAAAAAAAAUGCGUAUUAUUAUUGGUUCAGUUUUUUUGGCUUUGACAUUAGCCAUUGUUGAUGCCCAACGAGUCAAUGAAGUGUACAUGUCGUGCGGUUCCGCAUGCCCAGCAACAUGUGAGUCGAUCAAAAGUGUGGAGCUCACGAGGUGCAUCACUCAGUGCAUAGAAGGAUGGUUCUGUGAGGGCGAAUACGUGCGGAAUGCUGCUGGAAACUGUGUUAAGCCGUACGAGUGUCCAUAGUGAUUGUAUUCGAAUUUGGUAACGAUCAUGAUCGUUAAUGAUUGGUUAAUAAAAAUAAAGUGAUAAGUUAAAUGGUGUUGCGGGAAUACGUUAGUAAUUCAGAUAUUCGGUAUACAGUGAUACCUCCAUGAGUCGAUGUUCCAUGACUCGAUAUCGACUCAUGGAACCAUACUAAAAACAAAAUUUCAUGGUUACUAUGAUGGUCCCCUCAAAGGGCUUCCCAUAGCAUUGCUGUUCCAUGACUCGAUAUUUCCUUGAGUCGAUGGUCCCUUCAAUAUCGACUCAUAGAGGUUUCACCGUACUAGUUCUCGGAAGCAAUACAGGGUAAAGAAGGAUUAUAAUAUAUUGGUCACUUCUUUAGUUUGAAUCUCAGUACUUCAAGUCUAUGUUAACUCUCGUCAAUAUGCUUCUGUCGUGAUGAUUCUGCAUUGUUGAAGUCAAACUUUCACUGUACUGUACUUCAAUCAAAGACAAAAUAGAGAUACAAAAGUUCAGCUUAUAAUGGAUACCGCUUCUAGUACUACAUUCGAUCGCUUUGUUAUUACGCUCAGUAUCCAAGUUUUGAUGAUCUUAUUAAACUUUCUCAUGAACCUCAUGAACUAAUCCCAGAACACAGUUAUUUUCUUUCAAAAUUGCUUUGUUUUUUGUAAAGCUUGGAAAAACUUCAAAAGUUAUGUCUCUGAAAUCACGAAUUCGAGAGCCCAUAAAACUAUAUUCGAUAUUUUGUUCAAGAUAACGUGAACUUAUUUCACAUGCGCUGUCGAAAACAAUAACGCAUGCGAAGAAUCAACCAACAGAUAGUUGAUAGAGUGCGCAUAGUACUCUCGUUCUGUAUGUACACAAAUUCUUUCUGCUCUCGGAAGUUUUAAAAACUAU